rnacentral:rRNA from 1 species
GAUGAACGCUGGCGGCGUGCCUAAUACAUGCAAGUCGAACGGAAAAUUCUUGGUACUUGUAUCGGGAGUUUUUAGUGGCGAACGGGUGAGUAACGCGUUGGUGACCUACCCCAAAGUGGGGGAUAACAGAUCGAAAGAUCUGCUAAUACCUCAUGUUGUCAUCGUUUUUAGAAAUCGAUGAUUAAAGGAGCAAUCCGCUUUGGGAGGGGCCUGCGUCCCAUCAGCUAGUUGGUAGGGUAAUGGCCUACCAAGGCGUCGACGGGUAAGGGACCUGAGAGGGUGGCCACUCACAAUGGAACUGAAACACGGUCCAUACACCUACGGGUGGCAGCAGUAGGGAAUAUUGCACAAUGGACGAAAGUCUGAUGCAGCAACGCCGCGUGUACGAUGAAGGCCUUCGGGUCGUAAAGUACUUUUCAGGGAGAUGAGAAAGGACA